CUAACCUUACCUCACCGCCACUCACCCUACCCUCUCUUAACACAUACAGCCGUAUCAAAAUCCUGCACCUAAGCCAUUCCAAUUUGCAAUUCCAUUUCAUUCAUAGAUUCCAUUAUUAAAUGAUGUCAUGAGAUGACUUAGUCAAUGUCCCAUACUCAACAAUCCCUAAAGCCCCUCGAACUCACCACUCCAUUGAUUCCUGCAUCUUCCAACUCCGUACGUGGAAGCCCUUCACUAACAAACACCCUUGUUUCUCCGAAGGCAAAACCCCUUCUGUUCCGAUUGACCUUUCCAAGCUUUCUCUUCUCGACAAUGAUUCCACUCCUAAACCCGUCAAUUCAUCAUCCUGCCAUCACUACUACCAUGAAGCCGCCGAACAGAGCUGAGGAAGAGAGAGGGACGAACUCGCGAGGGAGAAGGAGAGGAGGUUGUGCUGCCGCCGCUACCCAGGGUCCGUCACCGUCGCCAAAGUUCGCAACGCCGUCGGGAAGCCCAGCCGCGGUGAGAUAGAGAGCGCUCAUGAGGGUUAGAGCCACGAGUUGUGAACCGCCGCUGUUGACGGAGAAGAGGAGAGAUCCGAGAGAAGGAGAGAAAGAGAAGCUGCGCCGCCUCCUCGCGCCAGUCACCGUCGCUGUUCGUGACGAAACUCGUCGCCGCCAUCCGUGCUUCUGUCGCCAUCGGAACCGUACGCCGCCGUUAGAAGGACCUUCAUCGCUGUUGUUAACGCGAACGAGAGAGAAGGAAGACCGAGGAAAGAAGGGGUUGUUCCCUUCGUUACCGAGCCACAGCCACCGUCGUCACUGUCGGGCCACCACCGGAGGAGGUCUGUGCUACUAGAGCUCAACGGAAGUCACUUGGGGAUGCUGUCACUCCUCCUAGUUCUGUUUGAAUCGCGUCACCGCACCCCUGGAUGUCGGGAACGGCGCCAUAGCCGCCGGAAUCACUGCUCGAGUUGUUGCUUUUCAGUUCAGUGUUUCUUCUUAGUUGCGAGUUACUGUGGUUGCUGCGGAAGUGGGUUGGAGUUGAGGUUGUGGCUAUCGAGGUUAUAAGCCGAGAAGAAGGGGUUUUGACGCACUGUAUAGCUUUUGAGUUUUGACGAGUUGAGCUUUACCUUUUCAGGAACCGGAUGAAGAAGCAUUAAAAAGAGAUAUACUGCGUUUAGUUUAUAAGAUAUUGUGUUAAUUAGAUUAUUUUCUUCCCUCGUCUUUGUUAUUACGAGUUUGUAAGAGGGAUAGGAAUUGUAUGUUUGAUAUGUAUAUUAUAUUAUGAGUUAUUAUGUAAGGAGUCUUAUAUAUGAAUCUUAUUCCUGUUUGUAUUUUUUCUUAAGAUAAAGUGUUUAAUUUCGGU